rnacentral:rRNA from 1 species
CCUACGGGAGGCAGCAGUGGGGAAUAUUGCACAAUGGGGGAAACCCUGAUGCAGCGACGCCGCGUGAAGGAAGAAGUAUUUCGGUACGUAAACCUCUAUCAGCAGGGAAGAAAAUGACGGUACCUGACUAAGAAGCCCCGGCUAACUACGUGCCAGCAGCCGCGGUAAUACGUAGGGGGCAAGCGUUAUCCGGAUUUACUGGGUGUAAAGGGAGCGUAGGCGGUUGAGCAAGUCAGAAGUGAAAGCCCGGGGCUCAACGCCGGAACUGCUUUUGAAACUGUUGAACUAGAGUGCAGGAGAGGUAAGUGGAAUUCCUGGUGUAGCGGUGAAAUGCGUAGAGAUCAGGAGGAACACCGGCGGCGAAGGCGGCUUACUGGACUGUAACUGACGCUGAGGCUCGAAGGCGUGGGGAGCAAACAGGAUUAGAUACCCUAGUAGUC